GUCAAACUCUCAUGCUUUCUCCCCAACGAGGAAAUGGUGUUUGGUACCAGAUUCAUUCAGAACAGGAACAGCAUAUUCACACUCUACCUGUCUGUCUCUUCUUACUCAGGGUCUCCACUGUUCUCUCUCUUCUCUCUCUCCCCACCCCCCCAACUUGCAUUCAAGUUUACUCCAGGGUAAAAUGUGCAAAAAAAGCUUCAUUAUAAGGUGAUGUCACCUACAACAUGAUCCUGUGGCAGAGACCCCAAGAGAGGCAAGGAAAACUUGCAUUUUGAAAGAAGAUUCCAAUCAAGGAUGCAUCUUGACCUCAUUAGAAUUUUCACAUGGAAGGAAUUACACAUGGAAAGCCCAUUCUGGAGUCAGAUCGGUUGGUGAGAUCGCCAUUUGAUUCUUCUUCAGUUUUAACACCUGUGCCAUGAGAAGAAGAAUGAACUAGCACAGUGCCUGGCACAUGGAAGGACUGAACAAAUACUGCUAAAAGGAUGAAUGAAGCUGGAGUUAUUUAGACCCAGAGUACUGUUAUUUCUUAGAACAGUUGAGGAAGACCUGAGGUUACCUCAGCCCUCUCAAGUGGCAGCAAUGAAUAAUUUGAAGAGGAGCAGGUUAGGAGUUAUAUGAACCUGGGCAUUUAACGUCAACUUCCUAGGUCUGCAUUUCCUCAUGUGAAAAGGCAAAGAUAUGCCAUGAAGUAGGCAAGAUCAAACUAAAUGCGUCAAAGAAUUCACCUAUGGAAAUCUUUGCAAGAAAUAAUCCAUCAACCUGUGCGAUAGUCAGGCUCUUAAAGCCAGGGUGACUCGCUGCAUACAAAACCACAACUGAUGUCGAAUUCAAAUCAGCCUAAUACCAGGUACUCUCAAACAAUGAAAGAAAUGGAAGAUAAGGAGAAUUUGAUUCAGAAUUAACUGAGGAAAUAGAUGUUCUCGUAUUAAGAACUGUUCCUCGUUAUCACCAUCAAAAUAUUCUUGUCAUCAAGGAAGAUGACA
rnacentral:lncRNA from 1 species